GGAGAACAAAGAUUCUUUGAAGGCAGGGGAGAAUAUUAGAUAAAAGAAAUUCCAGUACUAGCAGAUUCUUUGAAGCAAAUAUCAGGAACAUACCUGACUUUAUAUGUUAUAAACAAGGAAAAAAGAGUGAAACACCAAAAAUAUUAUAUAAGAACUUUCAUAAGCAAUAGUCUGAAGUAAAACAGCAAGAACGUUAGACUAUCCAAGGAUGUUUUAGGGUCAUGAUUACAUAUCUAGAACGACUAGGAAAA
rnacentral:misc_RNA from 1 species